UGGGGAAUAUUGCGCAAUGGGCGAAAGCCUGACGCAGCAACGCCGCGUGAGUGAUGAAGGCCUUCGGGUCGUAAAGCUCUGUCGGAGGGAACGAAUGCUCCUGAAGUUAACAGCCUCAGGGGGUGACGGUACCCUCAAAGGAAGCACCGGCUAACUCUGUGCCAGCAGCCGCGGUAAUACAGAGGGUGCAAGCGUUGUUCGGAAUCAUUGGGCGUAAAGGGCGUGUAGGCGGUACGUUAAGUCAUGUGUGAAAUCCCUCGGCUCAACCGGGGAACGACGCAUGAAACUGGCAAGCUAGAGUACCAAAGAGGGUGGUGGAAUUCUUGGUGUAGCGGUGAAAUGCGUAGAUAUCAAGAGGAACACCUGAGGUGAAGACGGGUUGCUGGGCUGACACUGACGCUGAGGCGCGAAAGCCAGGGGAGCAAACGGGAUUAGAUACCCCUGUAGUCCCUGAGCGGGCUGGCAAGGCGCAU
rnacentral:rRNA from 1 species